CGCUGUCGGUCCCCUUCCGCAGUCGGCGCGGGCGGCGGCGGGGAGCUGUCCGCCCCGGUGGUUCUGAACCAGGCGCUGCGGAAAUUCCAGAGACAAUGAUGGUUCUUCCAAGAUUGUCUGUGAAAGGCUAGGCACCUGCAAAACCACACAUUUGACCUGAGCCAUCACCCAAGUAGAAUGUAAUCCGCUCUCAGAUCAUAGGAGAAAAAAGAGAGAGAGAGAGAAUCCCAAGAAGAAACACUCACGUCAGGAUUUUCAUCAAAUUUAGUGCACGUCUCACCAUUUAUCUUCAUUUGUGGACGCAACACUGCCCUCCUGAGCAGCGCAAGAGGGUGGGUUUUUACAGAGAAUCACGACAGCUUGACCCAACUGAAGGGCCAGCCUUGCGCUGCUGCUUAAGAGAAAGCCUUGAGUUGGGAAAGGUUUGACAAAUACUGAGAAAAAACAGUCAAUUAAUAUGUUAAAAACACUACCCAACCACAGUAUGAACCAUUUAGACAUAGGGCUUUAAUUUUGACUUUAGUCUCCAAAGCCUAGGGGUCCCUGGGGAAAGGGGGCAGAGGGAGAGGCAGGACCAGCUUCUCUGUGGGCCAGGCUUCUGGGGUUGCUCCCAGCCCUGCCCCCAGAGGGAAUGCCCCCACCCAGGGCUUUGCUCCCAGAAGGGCCCCUCCCCCAGAAAGCCCCUUCCCAAAGGGCCCUGCCCUUUGGGCAACACCCUCAGAGGUCCCAUUAUCCACCCCCAACCCCCCCACACCCCCCUACCCCCACCAAGCACCGCCCUCAGAAGGGUUCUAAGGUGAAGUCAGAGUGCUUCUCUCUCAAUGUCUAGGAAUUACUCAGUUUUAUUUUUGAAUUUGUGUUUUUUGAGCGAAGUGGGUGAUGUAAGGACCUAUUUUAUAUUUUUAUAUUUUAGCCAGAGGCUUCCAUUGAGGUUACACAAUAACCUUGUUGUUUAACCCUUAAGCUGUCCCUGCUCCCCUUCUCCCAGGGGACUUACUUAAAAACAAGUCCCGGAAAUCAACCUCAGGUAACAAAGCUCGAAUACAAGGGUGGGUCAGGCCAGGUAAGACAUCUGAUCAGUGGAGGGUUGCAUACUGUCUCCC